GGAAGUAAAAGUUCGUAACAAGGUUUCCGUAGGUGAACCUGCGGAAGGAUCAUUAUUGUAUAACCGAGGUGCGAGGGCUGUCGCUGACCCGAAAGGUCGUGCACGCCCGAGUGCCCUCACACACAUCCAUCUCACCCCUAUGUGCACCACCGCGUGGGUCCCCCUUUGGCCUGUUCGGAGGGGGGCUUACGUUUUCACACAAACUUUGUAUGCAGUGUAGAAUGUAUUUUUUGUUAUUGCGAUCACGCAAUCAAUACAACUUUCAACAACGGAUCUCUUGGCUCUC
rnacentral:misc_RNA from 1 species